rnacentral:tRNA from 1 species
GCCUGGGUGGCUCAGUCAGUUAAGCGUCUGACUUCAGCUCAGGUCACGAUCUCGCGGUCCGUGAGUUCGAGCCCCGCAUCGGGCU